rnacentral:rRNA from 1 species
UGCGCAGGUGGGGAUGUAAGUCAGUGGUGAAAUGUUGCCGCUCAACGGUAAAAUUGCCAUUGAUACUGCAUCUCUUGAGUAUGGUUGAGGUAGGCGGAAUGUGUUGUGUAGCGGUGAAGUGCAUAGAUAUGACACAGAACACCGAUUGCGAAGGCAGCUUACUAAGCCAUUACUGACGCUGAGGCACGAAAGCGUGGGUAGCGAACAGGAUUAGAUACCCUGGUAGUCC